rnacentral:rRNA from 1 species
UGGGGAAUUUUGGACAAUGGGGGCAACCCUGAUCCAGCCAUGCCGCGUGAGUGAAGAAGGCCUUCGGGUUGUAAAGCUCUUUCGCGAGGGAAGAAAACUUAGCCAUUAAUACUGGCUGAGGAUGACGGUACCUUGAUAAGAAGCACCGGCUAACUACGUGCCAGCAGCCGCGGUAAUACGUAGGGUGCGAGCGUUAAUCGGAAUUACUGGGCGUAAAGCGUGCGCAGGCGGUUUGACAAGUCAGAUGUGAAAGCCCCGGGCUCAACCUGGGAACUGCGUUUGAAACUGUCAGGCUAGAGUGUGUCAGAGGGAGGUAGAAUUCCACGUGUAGCAGUGAAAUGCGUAGAGAUGUGGAGGAACACCGAUGGCGAAGGCAGCCUCCUGGGAUAACACUGACGCUCAUGCACGAAAGCGUGGGGAGCAAACAGG